UGGAUGAUGGGAGUAGGCUGAGGAAGAAAAAGAGAAAGGUAAUGAAUUCCAGCAGAACUCAAGGUUUUGUAGAAUUGUGAAACAAAGAAGAAAAACUUCUCAAUAACUGAAAAUUUGAGUAACAGCUCCAAUGUCUUCUUGGAUUUGGAUGAAACCAGGGUCAUCUGAAAAGACUUCUCAAGUUCCAUAUGAGGAGAAAGCAGCUCUACCCCGAUGGAGGAAUGACAAGGUUCUGCAGGAGCAUGUGGACCUCAAAAUAUUGCCGCAGCCGUGUUGGUAAAUGCAAUCGGCCACUUACCUCCUCUGCAGUCCCCUGAAAUGUCUGCUCUUGGAAAAAAAACGA